UACGAAGGGGGCUAGCGUUGCUCGGAAUCACUGGGCGUAAAGGGCGCGUAGGCGGACUCUUAAGUCGGGGGUGAAAGCCCAGGGCUCAACCCUGGAAUUGCCUUCGAUACUGAGAGUCCUGAGUUCGGAAGAGGUUGGUGGAACUGCGAGUGUAGAGGUGAAAUUCGUAGAUAUUCGCAAGAACACCAGUGGCGAAGGCGGCCAACUGGUCCGAUACUGACGCUGAGGCGCGAAAGCGUGGGGAGCAAACAGG
rnacentral:rRNA from 1 species